rnacentral:lncRNA from 1 species
AAUAGUUCUAAUUCACAAAUAAGGCCAAACGUGAAAGCUAGGAGCUCACGUAGAAGCCAUGAAUUUUAUCUGUUUGAUAAAUUUAGUAUUAAUUAUGAAUUCUUCUUUGUGCACAUCUUUUAAUAAACUUGUAAUUCAUCAUAGUUUUGUUUAAAAUAUAUGUAAUCUUAUGAACUUCACUUAUAAAAAUAAAAUAAAAGUAGGGUUAAAGAAAAGGAA